UACGUAGGUGGCAAGCGUUGUCCGGAUUUAUUGGGCGUAAAGCGAGCGCAGGCGGAAAGAUAAGUCUGAUGUGAAAGCCCCCGGCUUAACCGAGGAAUUGCAUCGGAAACUGUGUUUCUUGAGUGCAGAAGAGGAGAGUGGAACUCCAUGUGUAGCGGUGGAAUGCGUAGAUAUAUGGAAGAACACCAGUGGCGAAGGCGACUUUCUGGACAGUAACUGACGUUGAGGCACGAAAGUGUGGGGAGCAAACAGG
rnacentral:rRNA from 1 species